rnacentral:rRNA from 1 species
UACGUAGGUGGCAAGCGUUGUCCGGAUUUACUGGGCGUAAAGGGCGUGCAGGCGGUUUGUUAAGUCUAGGGUGAAAGCUCCCGGCUCAACUGGGAGAGGUCCUUGGAUACUGGCAAACUUGAGGGAGGCAGAGGAGAGUGGAAUUCCCGGUGUAGUGGUGAUAUGCGUAGAUAUCGGGAGGAACACCAGUGGCGAAGGCGGCUCUCUGGGACGUGACUGACGCUGAGACGCGGAAAGCGUGGGGAGCAAACAGGG